UAUCACUAAGCGGAGGAAAAGAAACUAACCAGGAUUCCCUCAGUAACGGCGAGUGAAGCGGGAAGAGCCCAGCACCGAAUCCCUCGGCCUGUCGCCGACGGGAACUGUGGUGUGUGGGACGCCAACUGUCCGCGGUGCCGGCAGCCGAAGUCCCCCUGAUCGGGGCCUCUCCCAGAGUGGGUGUCAGGCCUUUGCCGGCUUGCUCGGUCCGCGGGCUGCGAGCGUCUCAGGAGUCGGGUUGUUUGGGAAUGCAGCCCAAAGUGGGUGGUAAACUCC
rnacentral:rRNA from 1 species